rnacentral:rRNA from 1 species
AGCAGCCGCGGUAAUUCCAGCUCCAAUAGCGUAUAUUAAAGUUGUUGCAGUUAAAAAGCUCGUAGUUGAAUUUCGGGAUCAAGUCGUCGGUCGUGCUCAGGUACGUACUGGCGUCAUUGAUUUCUCCCUUCUGACGAACCAUGAUGUCAUUAACUUGGUGUCAUGGGAAAUCAGGACUGUUACUUUGAAAAAUUAGAGUGUUUAAAGCAGGCUCACGCUUGAAUACAUUAGCAUGGAAUAAUGAAAUAGGACGUUCGGUCCUAUUUUGUUGGUUUUAGGAUCAACGUAAUGAUUAAUAGGGAUAGUUGGGGGCAUUAGUAUUCAAUUGUCAGAGGUGAAAUUCUUGGAUUUAUUGAAGACUAACUACUGCGAAAGCAUUUGCCAAGGAUGUUUUCAUUAAUCAAGAACGAAAGUUAGGGGAUCGAAGACGAUCAGAUACCGUCGUAGUCUUAACCAUAAACUAUGCCGACUAGGGAUCGGAUGAUGUUAAUUUUUAAUGACUCAUUCGGCGCCUUAAC